AGCUAACGAACGACAGCAGCGGCAAAAUUUUUGAAAAAAAAAAGAAACAAAACACAUUAAAACACACACUAAGCGACAAAAUAUACAAAAACACAAACGGGUCGUUUUAGUGUGUUUAGUUAAUUUAGUUUAGUUAGUGGCGAGAUUUCAAGCGUUAAACUUGUGUGAAUUUGGUUUUUCGUGAAAUUGAGAGUUAGAGAAAAUUAACUGAAUAGUUGAAAAUUAAAAGAAAUUACUUUAACUUUAACAACUUGUUUGUUAAAAUAAAAAAAAUUAUUAUUUAAAAGUCAUAAAAUUUAAAUUUCAAAAAAAAGUGAAAAAAAAAUUGAAAGUAAAUUUAUUUUAUACGUUUUCCAAAAUUAUCAUCAUUAUCACCGUUGUUACUUUUCAAAUCGUGUGUAAUUGAGAUCUGCGCUACCGUAUGUAGCUAACGCUUUGAUUGUGUUGAAAACCAAAAAAAAUACAAAGAUAAAAAUAAAUAAAAUUUU